rnacentral:lncRNA from 1 species
UUUAGGGCCGCACUCUCGGCAUAUGGAGGUUCCCAGGCUAGGGGUCAAAUUGGAGCUGUGGCUGCUGGCCCACGCCACAGCCACAGCAACACAGGAUCUAGCCACACCUGCAACCCACACCACAGUUCACGGCAAUGCUGGAUCCUUAACCCAGUGAGCGAGGCCAGGGAUCGAACCCACAACCUCAUGGCUCCUUAGUCAGAUUUGUUUCCACUGUGCCACAAUGGGAACUCCUUAUUUUUCAUAUUUUUUUUUUACUAUUAUUUACGUUUACUCCCCUAAACAAAUCCAAGAUGUCAUCCCUUUAAAAAACCAAAAACCUUGUAUGGGAUCCAAUUAGAAUGUUAAUUUUUAGAACCUGAAAUUUCUCUCCACUUGUUUAGAACUUGUUUUAUAACCAUUAAUAAGGCCUUCUAGGCUUCUUCAUAAAGGCUUUGUGCCUUUCUUAUUAAAUUUUUUGCCUAUUCAUUCCCAUGUUAUUCUGGGUUUUACACUAUUAUGAUGGAGUAACUGUCCCUUUUACAUUUCUAAGUACUUAUUCUAGUGCAGAAGACAUAGACUUUAUGUAUUUUACAAUAUCUAGCCACCUUAUUAACUUUUUAAUCUCUUGGAUUUUCUAGAAAUACAACCCUAUCCCAAAGUUUUAUCUCUUCUUUUCCAAUCUCUGCAAUUUCAUUUCCUGAAUUUAUUAGCACCACCAAGAAUGGUAACAGCAGAUACCUAUCUCGUACCCGGUUUUUUUUUUUUUUUCCACUUUUUAGGGCUGAACCCGAGGCAUGUGGAAGUUCUCAGGCGAGGCAUCAAUUCAAAGCUUCAGCUGCCAGCCUACACCACAGCCACAGCAACACAGGAUCCAAGCCGCAUCUGUAACCUACACUCCAGCUCACAGCAAUGCCAGAUCCUUAACUCACUGAGCGAGGCCAGGGAUUGAACCUGCGGCCUCAUGGAUGCUAGUCGGAUUCAUUUCUGCUGCACCACAAUGGGAACUCCUGGUACCUGAUUUUAACUGAAAAUAUCUUUAGACCUGCCAUUUAGGAAAGGUUUGUUACCGAGUUUAGUAAAUAACUUUUAAUAUACUUAAGCAACUACUUAUUCUUGGUUCUGCCCCCCGCCGCCCCCUGCCAAGCCAAGGUCAUUCCCACACGUUCUCCAAUCUCUUUUAAAAACUUAACUCACACAUACACAUGUAUGAUUCACACACUCUUGGGGGCCUCCCCUGCCCACCUGGCUGGGACACUUGGUGACAAACUGACCUGUGCCCUCCCGUUUGGCCAAGCCUUGGAUCAUGCAUGGAUUUGCACACAGGAUGUAGCCCAGUCAUGGCGAGCAGCGGACUUUCUCUGGGACCACAUGGGCAACAGCGCUGCCCUGGCUGAUCCUGCUGGGCACAAGCUCUCGCCUUCUGCGGACAAUGAGCCUGACUGUCCUCUGAUUCCACUCGCCUGUCACACUCGACCAUUGCACUCCCACAAGUUAUUCCAACCAGCCUGCCUGUGUCUAGACCCUGUCACAACAGGCUGCUUCAUUACUGAGGAGAAUAAAAACAAUAAGGCACUUUAUCAUUAGUUUUAGAACAAUGAUCUCCAAAUGCAUGUCUAGAGAAAAGAUAUUCAUUACAAUUUUGUUCAGGUUGAAUUUAUCUAAGAGAAUUUAUACAUAUCACUCUAGUCUAGUGGCUCCCAAAUUUGUCUGCACAUUAAAAUCACUGGAAAUCUUUUUAAAAUUCCCCAACCCAGGCCAUACUCCAAACCAAUUAAAACACUAACUCUGGAAGUAGGACACAGGUGCCAGUAUUUUCUCAAGCUGCCUGGAGGUUUCAACGUAUGGAUAAACUGGGGACCAAUGCUUCAAUCAGAAUUUGCUGAGCUGAAAAGAACAUCACAAACUCAGGAGCAGAGACGUCACCACUGAUGCCAUCGUGCCCUUAAAUCAAACGCUUUGUUAGACACACCUGGCGUGAGGAGCAAAGAUCCAUCCGGAGUGAAACUAAGUCUGCGGAAGAAGGACUUCAUGCUGUCAUCAUGGAACAUCCGGUAACUUCUUGCCUGCGGCAGAGUCGAAACAUUAUUCCACAUCUUCGCGUUCACAAUAAAGGCUUACCAAUUCCUAUAUUUUCUUUACAUGUGGCCAUUUAUUACUGACAAAAUAAUAAGGGAAACCGAAAUAGAUUACAAUCAAAUAAUCAGACAAGACUGAAAGAUUAAUUACUCGUGAACGCAUGGCCCAUUUUUGGUAAGGACCGCCAUGUGUGUUGAUGUCUAUGCGUCUGUGUGGUUCUACAACUAUUAAACAAACCUCUGUAGGAACACAGCCCACACUGUCAACAGUGGUUUGUCUGGAGAAUGAGACCAGGGGAAAUGCAGAAGAUGAGAAGGAGCCCUUUGCUCGUUAUCCGUGUGUAUAUAUUUAGAAGAGCCUUGGAGUUCCUGUCGUGGGUCAGUGGUUAACGAAUCUGACUAGGAACCAUGAGGUUGCGGGUUCGAUCCCUGGCCUUCCGUGGGUGAAGGAUCCGGCGUUGCCGUGAGCUGUGGUGUAGGUCGCAGAUGCAGCUUGGAUCCCAAGUUGCUGUGGCUCUGGUGUAGGCCGGUGGCUACAGCUCCAAUUAGACCUCUAGCCUGGGAACCUCCAUAUGCCAUGGGAGUGGCCCCAGAAAAGGCAAGACAAAAAAAAAAAAAAAAAAAAAAAAGAAGAAGCCUUAGCCAGUCUCUAAAAAACCAAAAACCAAAUCCCUCUUCUCUGGGGCGGGGCCUGCACCACCUCACUCACUCUCCUAAGCUUCUCGCCUUCCGUUCACUCAACUCUGUACCCUGGGCUUCAGCUCCUCGACCUCCCCACCACCUGCUAAAACCGCUGGCCCCCAGGUCAGUUGCCAGGGUCCCGCUAGGGACCUUUGUGUGUAAAACACACUGCACAAAUUUCUGCUAACUUUCUUCCCUGCUCCCCUUCUUGA